AACGAACGCUGGCGGCAUGCCUAACACAUGCAAGUCGAGCGAGCCCUUCCGGUCGAGUGCCGCAGGGGUGCGUGUAGCGUGGGAACAUGCCCUCAGUGUCGCAGUAACUCCCCGAGAGAGGUGCUCUUAUAGGGGAAUCUCCCCUGUCCAAAGAUUUAUUGCCGUAGGAUGGGCCCGCGUUGGAUUAGCUAGUUGGUAGGGUAAAAGCCUACCAAGGCGACGAUCCCUAGCUGGUCUGAGAGGAUGAUCAGCCACACUGGGACUGAGACACGGCCCAGACUCCUACGGGAGGCAGCAGUGGGGAAUAUUGGACAAUGGGCGAAAGCCUGAUCCAGCAAUGCCGCGUGAGUGAUGAAGGCCUUAGGGUUGUAAAGCUCUUUUAUCCGGGACGAUAAUGACAGUACCGGGAGAAUAAGCCCCGGCUAACUCCGUG
rnacentral:rRNA from 1 species